rnacentral:lncRNA from 1 species
AAAACCUGAUUUACGCCUAUUAUCUUAGUUUUCUUAUUUUAAAAAUAUGUAAUUUUUAUUUUGUUCAUGAAAAGCGUCUGUAAACGGGGUCGAAACUACUGUAUGAAUAAACUUCGGCCCACGUGACAUCCCUUCACGGUGAGUAUAACGCCGCUCUGCUAUUGGUCAAACUGCAUCAGCGGUGAGUUCUCAGAUUAGUUCAACUGUCAACAUUAAAUAUUACGUUAAUGCUGCAUAAUAUAUUUUUAUUGGAGAUUAGUUGGUGUUUAUAAAUAUGUUAUCAUUUACUUUAUAUUUAAUGAGUGAAAAUAUAUUCGGUUGUCCAGUUUAGGGUAACUAUGCCUAAUAAAACUUUGAUUCAUUCAUAUUAUUUAUUAUUUACUUUAUUAUUUUACUUUAAAAAAUAUUAAAUUUCAAGUACUAAGUUUAAAAAUGUUUUCAGCUGAUAUUUUUCAUUUUAAAUUAUUUAUUAAAGUUGGGGUCAUUGUAUGUGGCGAUCUAUUUUUUACAGUCUAUGCUCGCUAUCCCAAGGUUCAUUGCGAUCCCAAGGUUCACUGCGGUUUUCCACAGGAUGCAGAAACUUUUGACAUAUGAAUUCAUCUUGACUAAGGGUAAUGUUUUUGUUCAGAAUUAAUCAUUAUUUAAAAUCAUUGUAUUUUCUUUGUUAUUAUGUACAGAUUUUAAAAGAAUGUACUUUCUUUUAAUAAAGAACUCUUCACAGCACUGCAGCUAAACAGUCACAACCUCACAGAGCUGCACAACUGCCCCACUCAGAUCAGUGUUGAAGCUGGAACCUCAUCUUGUGUACAGCAAAGGCAGAGCUGAAAAUUCACUGUUUGUCUUGUAUUGUGUGUGGCAAAACCUGGAAUAACACAUGGGAGCCCUCCAGGAAUUGCUGACACUUUACGCCCAAGUCUCCUCAUGCUAACCGGAUUGCAAUAUGACAGUCUAGUCAGCAUAAACACCUGGACUCGCCAAGCACACUUUGGUUCUCAGUGUUUUGUAAAAAUAGUUUUUGCUAUUCUUCAGUAAAUACUUGAAUAUGUUUUGAACUUAUUCUACUUUUGAUGUUUAAGUUCAGAAAGUUGUUAUUAUAAACAUAAUUUGCAUUUGUCAUGAACUUGACUUCUUGUUGUUGUGAAAGCUGUUUAUUAUGAUGGCAUUUCCAAAGGCAUCAUUUGAAAAGAUUUUUUGCAGUGCAGUUUUACUUGAGCUUGACAUACCAGAUGUAUGACAUGAAUAAAUAUCACAAAAUAAAUAUAAUAAUAAUAAUACAAAAUAUACAUUUCCUUCAAUUAUAAUUGUUUUUAAUCAUUUAUAUAUGUAUGGUAAUAUAUUAUUGCAUUAAAAACUUAUAAAAUAUAUAUUUUUGGUUAAAAUAUAUAUUUUUGCAUUUUUGUGUGAUUUUUUAUUAUUUAUUUUUAUUUGUGGCAUUAUAAAUAAAUUAUAAAUGUUUCAUUAAAAA